ACCUCGAAUCAGGUAGGAAUACCCGCUGAACUUAAGCAUAUCAAUAAGCGGAGGAAAAGAAACCAACAGGGAUUGCCCCAGUAACGGGCGAGUGAAGCGGCAACAGCUCAAAUUUGAAAUCUGGCCCCUAGGGCCCGAGUUGUAAUUUGCAGAGGAUGCUUUUGGCGAGGUGCCUUCCGAGUUCCCUGGAACNNGACGCCAUAGAGGGUGAGAGCCCCGUNUGGUUGGACGCCGAGCCUCUGUAAAGCUCCUUCGACGAGUCGAGUAGUUUGGGAAUGCUGCUCUAAAUGGGAGGUAUAUGUCUUNUAAAGCUAAAUACCGGCCAGAGACCGAUAGCGCACAAGUAGAGUGAUCGAAAGAUGAAAAGCACUUUGAAAAGAGGGUUAAAUAGUACGUGAAAUUGUUGAAAGGGAAGCACUUAUGACCAGACUUGGACCCGGUGAAUCAUCCAGCGUUCUCGCUGGUGCACUUUGCCGGGCUCAGGCCAGCAUCANNNNGNCUCGGGGGAUAAAGGCUUUGGGAAUGUGGNNNNNNNGGGNGUGUUAUAGCCCAUUGCACAAUACCCU
rnacentral:rRNA from 1 species